CUUGAAGAUUUGGCGAUCAUACUUGUAUGGUGCUAAAGUUCAAAUCUAUACUGACCACAAAAGCCUAAAGUACAUAUUCACCCAGCCGGAGUUGAAUCUAAGGCAAAGAAGGUGGAUGGAACUUGUGGCGGAUUACAACUUGGAUAUAGCGUACCAUCCGGGCAAGGCCAACCAAGUCGCCGACGCCCUAAGUAGGAGGCGCUCGGAAGUUGAGGCGGAACGGAGCCAAGUGGACUUGGUUAACAUGAUGGGGACAUUGCAUGUGAAUGCCUUGUCUAAAGAAGUUGAACCCUUAGGGUUGGGAGCCGCCGAUCAGGCCGACCUGCUUAGUAGGAUCCGGCUGGCUCAGGAACGGGACGAGGAGAUAAAAGGAUGGGCUCAAAACAAUAAGACCGAGUACCAAACCUCGAACAAUGGUACAAUCGUGGUGAACGGUCGAGUAUGUGUGCCGAACGAUAGGGCAUUAAAGGAGGAGAUCCUAAGAGAGGCCCAUCAAUCGAAGUUCUCAAUCCAUCCUGGGUCGAACAAGAUGUACCGCGACCUUAAAAGGUACUACCAUUGGGUAGGAAUGAAGAAAGACGUGGCCAGAUGGGUGGCCAAGUGCCCGACUUGUCAACUGGUCAAGGCGGAGCAUCAAGUACCAAGUGGGUUGUUACAAAACCUACCUAUACCGGAAUGGAAGUGGGACCACAUAACGAUGGACUUCGUCACUGGACUGCCAACGGGGAUCAAGUCCAAACACAAUGCGGUAUGGGUUGUGGUAGACCGAUUGACUAAGUCUGCGCACUUCAUGGCGAUCUCGGAUAAGGAUGGAGCAGAAAUCAUUGCCGAGAAGUAUAUAGACGAGAUCGUGCGGUUACAUGGGAUUCCGGUUAGUAUAGUGUCAGACCGAGACACAAGGUUCACGUCAAAGUUUUGGAAGGCUUUCCAAAAGGCCUUAGGAACUCGAGUGAACCUAAGUACUGCCUACCACCCACAAACGGACGAACAGUCCGAACGAACGAUUCAAACCCUCGAGGACAUGUUGAGGGCAUGCGUCUUGGAUUGGGGAGGAAACUGGGAGAAAUAUCUAAGGUUAGUAGAGUUUGCAUACAAUAAUAGUUUUCAAGCUAGUAUUGGUAUGUCUCCCUAUGAGGCGUUGUAUGGCCGAGCUUGUAGAACACCGUUGUGUUGGACGCCCGUGGGCGAACGUCGGUUGUUUGGACCUACGAUCGUGGAUGAAACCACGGAGAGAAUGAAGUUCUUAAAGAUCAAGUUAAAGGAAGCCCAAGAUCGACAGAAAAGCUACGCCAACAAACGUCGAAAGGAAUUGGAAUUCCAAGUAGGAGAUUUGGUGUACUUAAAGGCGAUGACCUACAAAGGGGCAGGACGAUUCACCUCAAGGAAAAAGUUAAGCCCAAGGUAUGUUGGCCCGUACAAGGUGAUCGAACGAGUAGGGGCGGUGGCAUACAAACUUGACCUUCCUCCAAAACUAAAUGCGUUUCACAACGUCUUCCAUGUGUCACAAUUACGGAAGUGUUUAAGUGAUCAAGAAGAAAGCGUGGAAGAUAUACCUCCCGGGUUAAAGGAGAACAUGACGGUGGAAGCAUGGCCGGUACGGAUCAUGGACCGAAUGACGAAAGGGACUCGGGGAAAAGCAAGGGAUUUGUUAAAAGUCUUGUGGAAUUGUAGAGGCCGUGAGGAAUACACUUGGGAAACCGAGAAUAAGAUGAAGGCCAAUUUUCCGGAGUGGUUCAAGGAGAUGGGUAAAGAUCAACUUGAUGCGGAUUCGAGGACGAAUCCAAUUCAAGGGGGGGAGACUUGUAACGCCCGCGAUCCUCAAUAGGAUCGUUGGCUAGGACUUGGUCCGAGAGAAGAAGGUGGAGUCUCGGACAAGUGAGAAGGAGCUGGCCAUAAGCUCGGACAAAGGGGAAAUCAUGCAGGCUAAGCUAGGAUCGUAAAGAAAUCACUUGGGUCAGCUCGCCCAAAGCUUAAGCUCAGCUGGAAGGAGUGACGGUUACUCAGGUCCAGUGACAGUCCAGCUCGGGCAGCUGGACGAGUGACGGUUGAGCUCGAGGUAGCUGGGCGAGUGACGGACGAGCUCGAGGCGGCUGGACGAGUGACGGUUGAGCUCGAGGUAGCUGGGUGAGUGACGGACGAGCUCGAGGUAGCUGGACGAGUGACGGACGAACUGGGCGGUUAUGGGCGAAGAGAUACAACUCUUCGGAAAGGUGCAACUCUUCGGAAGGGCGCAACUCUUCGGAAAGGUGCAACUCUUCGGAAAGGUGCAAGGAACGGAUGUGUUGAUUCGGGAAGCAUCCAUUCGCCCCCUAUAUAAGGAAGGGCGCCAGGACCAUUCCACUCACCACAACACACCGAAAACACAAGAAACUCACCAUUAAAACUCUCUCCCUCUUGGGAGAAUAAAUAGUCUUAGGAUUCGGUAGCCGGGCUGUGGCCGGCAAUAAAGAAGGAGGGUCAGAUCGACCUAACCUCGAGAAGGAAGGUAAGGGAUCCUAGACUUUGAGUCUAAGGGUUCUAGGAUGUGAGUUAGUAGUCGGAUCUUUGAAAGGAUCGACUAGAAGGCUGGGUAGUAUCCGGGUCAUGUGCAUCCUACACAAGACUCGGUCCGGGUAGGGAUCGGCUGAGGCGGGGACGCGGCUCGGCGGAGGACCGGCGGGUCUUAACUGACCUGCCGAGAAUCGGCCGGACUGAUGCGCGAUCUUCCCCUCUCUGAAUUCUCUCCACGGAUCCGAGUAGUGUAUGGCAUAUAGAGCAUUGCAUGGACUUGCAUAUGAUUAAGUAAAUGAGAUUAC
rnacentral:sRNA from 1 species